GGGUAUUGUAUCCUUGGGAGUUUAUUUGAUGGUAUUAUUUCUUUGUUUCUUGCUCCUAUUUGUAUUGUUUGGGGUUAUAAACUGCUGGCGUAUUCUUGUAAUCUACUCCUGCAUUAGUCAAUUCUCAGAUUUCAAGAUUUUCUGGACAGAAGUUUGAAGCCUGGUUCUUCCAACUCUGAGAUCAGAUAUGAGCAAGCUUUUGGGGGUUUGUUCUAGUUCUACACCACAAGAGUGACCUACGACUAGAAAGUUGAGUCCAUCUAAGGCCUGUUGUUGCUGCUACUGGAAAACACCCCAAAAGUUUCCUUUUUCAUGCCAUUAGCGUAACUCUCAAUCCACCUAACAGAAUUUGACCAAAUUUUGAUGGUUUAUUCACCUAUAUAAGACCUCCAAUCGGUCCAAAUUUCAGGCUCAACUGAGCGCUAUUUUGUGAGUUACAGGUUACUCAAGUUUUGGCCUAAUCUGUGUUUUCUUUCUCAGUUAUACUCGCUGUCCAUAUCUGAGUCUAGAAUUUGCCUAUUAUUAGUCUUAUCUAUGUUUGAUUACAUCUGUAAUCUUCCUUACAUUAAUUGUCAUAGCCAAUGUAUCCCUAGAUUACAUGUAGUUGUUAAUCUUAAGAAGUCUCUUUUGACUAGUUACUUGUUUGGGUUCAAUUUUUAUUGAUCAUUUUAUAAGCUUCUGCUAGCCCAAACCCUACAUGGUGGGCCUUAACCUGCUGGUUUGUUGUAUAUCUGGGAUUCAUCCUGCAUCAAUUAGUCAAUUGCAUAUUAGCGUGCAUAGGUUCAUUUUGUGAAGAAAUCACUAGAAGAAGAAAAGGGAAAGAAGAGAGAGAGAAAUACGUUAGGAAAUUUACCUGGAAAACUGCUUUUGGUUUUGUACUUUCUAAAACUUGGUUAAUGAAUGAGUUCGGUUUGGAUGACUACUUGGCUUUUACCCUCUCAAUCUGAUUGACCUGACACGAGCUCACUAAAGAACCCAUCAGCCAUGCAUAUAAUGGACCUGCAAAAUCCACAUUGUGGUUGGCAUGUUGAAUUCGAUUAGCGCCUUAGCUGUUAUUCUUAGGCCAAUCUGCCAACCUGCCCUCAUCCCAUCCCUGGACGUAAUUUCAUAGAUUUGGAUUUGAGAUGCAAAAACUUACGUAUAUUGCACAUUGUUACAUGUAUAUUGCACAUUGUUACAUGGAUAAGAAAGAUAAUUGUGUACACAAAUUGUAGGAAUGGAAGUUGAUGUCAAACCAUUUCUCAUUUGCCAUUUUUUUGAGCAUAUGAAUGAAUAGAAAAAAAUUCUUUGUUAGGCCAGAAAAGUCAUAUCAGACCUCUUCACACUUUGUCCGGAUGCCAAGACUGCAACAGAGGCUCCGAGAGAGGAGAUAGAAAAGCUGAUUCAAACUCUUGGAUUGCAAAGGAAAAGAGCUAUCAUGAUUCAACGCUUCUCUAAGGAGUAUCUGGAAGAUGGCUGGACACACGUUACCCAGCUGCAUGGUGUUGGCAAGUAUGCAGCUGAUGCAUACGCUAUAUUCUGUACAGGGAAGUGGGAAGGGUGAUACCCACUGAUCACAUGCUAACUAAAUAUUGGGAGCUUCUCCACAAGAUUCAAAACUCUUGAACUAUAUAUAUAUAUAUAUAUAUAUAUAUUAUUUUUUUAUUUUUUUUGAAGAGGACACUCAUGUCCAUUAUCUUUUUAGUAGUGGGGUUCAUCGCAUUCUGUAUAUUGAAUUACUGAAUUGACAAAGACACAUAUUGUAUGCAUUUCGAAUCACUGAGCUAUCUAAUGUUCCCUUGUUUAAUCUUGUUACUGUAGGCAAAAUUUAAUGGUGUAUUUACAGCGGCUACAGUCUGGGAAUACUUGGAAAGUUUGAUUGAAAUUUAUGGCUUCUGCUAUUAUUAUUA